rnacentral:rRNA from 1 species
AGCCGUAAGGCGAAGCUCCUGAUCGAAGCCCCAGUAAACGGCGGCCGUAACUAUAACGGUCCUAAGGUAGCGAAAUUCCUUGUCGGGUAAGUUCCGACCUGCACGAAUGGCGUAAUGAUGGCCAGGCUGUCUCCACCCGAGACUCAGUGAAAUUGAACUCGCUGUGAAGAUGCAGUGUACCCGCGGCAAGACGGAAAGACCCCGUGAACCUUUACUAUAGCUUGACACUGAACAUUGAGCCUUGAUGUGUAGGAUAGGUGGGAGGCUUUGAAGUGUGGACGCCAGUCUGCAUGGAGCCAACCUUGAAAUACCACCCUUUAACGUUUGAUGUUCUAACCUAGGCCCAUAAACUGGGUCGGGGACCGUGUCUGGUGGGUAGUUUGACUGGGGCGGUCUCCUCCUAAAGAGUAACGGAGGAGCACGAAGGUUGGCUAAGCAUGGUCGGACAUCAUGCGGUUAGUGCAAAGGCAUAAGCCAGCUUGACUGCGAGAGUGACGGCUCGAGCAGGUACGAAAGUAGGUCUUAGUGAUCCGGUGGUUCUGAAUGGAAGGGCCAUCGCUCAACGGAUAAAAGGUACUCCGGGGAUAACAGGCUGAUACCGCCCAAGAGUUCAUAUCGACGGCGGUGUUUGGCACCUCGAUGUCGGCUCAUCACAUCCUGGGGCUGAAGUAGGUCCCAAGGGUAUGGCUGUUCGCCAUUUAAAGUGGUACGCGAGCUGGGUUUAGAACGUCGUGAGACAGUUCGGUCCCUAUCUGCCGUGGGCGUUGGAAGAUUGAGAGGGGUUGCUCCUAGUACGAGAGGACCGGAGUGAACGCACCACUGGUGUUCGGGUUGUCAUGCCAAUGGCAUUGCCCGGUAGCUAAGUGCGGAAGAGAUAACCGCUGAAAGCAUCUAAGCGGGAAACUUGCC